UUCGAGGGCCGACGACUCUUCCCAUUUCCGUGGUUUGCUUCUUCCCCUGAGUGUGGUCUCAUCCCUUAAGUGACUUCUGCCUCGUGUGGCUCGACCACAUAAAAGCAGCCACUUAAGAGCAGGAGAGAGCCCUCAAUAAACUCAAAAUUCAGGCGAGAAGCUGCCGCCCAGAGAGUGCAUGUGCCCAGCUCAAGACAAACCACCAGCAGAAGAGGGAGGGAGGGCUGUCGCUCCGUGGCCUUCCACAGUUUCCAGAGGCAGCUUGGGCACAACCCAGGAGCUUUUGGUCGAAAGGGCAAAAGACCCGAUGGACAUGGAAACAACCGACUGAUUACAGGUGUGGUCGCUGCUGGGAGGGAAUCGCCCAGGGUGUGGCGGCGCUCCCUCCUGGGUGUUCUCCGAGGAGCAGACUGUGCGGCGAGGACUCAAGGAUGGCGAGCGGACCUCGUGCAGAUCUGGGGGGAGCCCAGGCCAGGCCAGGGGAACACAGUAAG